GGGGGAAUUGUCUGGAAGGCGCAUGAUGAUUGGUCAAAAGCCGCCCGUGAGGCGGGACUUCCAGGAGGCGCUCAGGAAUUGGCCGAGAGGCGCGUGCGCAGAUCUGAGGGCCGGCGGAAGGUUUAAACUUUGUACAAGUUUUGUGGGCUGUUGGGCUGUCAGUGUCCCCUUGUAAGAAUUCUCAGUAUUUCCUUAGGGGACCCGGGUGAGGAGGAGGGGCGCCGAUCUCGCCGGAACUGUUUUUGCAUUUGACUUAAUUCCUCCCUACAUCCUCUCCCACUUCCCGGGGGAAGCAGGUAUGUUUGCCGAGGCUCUAUCCUAGCUCUAGAACCGAAAGGGGUCUCAAAAAUCCCCGAUCCCUCUUCUCGUUUUCCCGGGGAAAGACCUCAGUGCCCUUAUUUGUAAAACGGGCAUUACACUCGUUUACUUGUCUUCCACUGUAGUCAGGAUUAAAUAGAAUAACGUAAAGCAUAUAUCUACUUACGGGUGAACGAUCACUGUUAAUAUCUAGUUCAAUUCUCUCAUAUUUUGACUAAUUAUCGUUUUCUACCAUUUCCGGAUAUAUCCUCCUUCUCCCUCCGGAGCCGAUCCCAUUACAAACUCACAUAUUCAAGUUCCUGAUUAUAUAUAAAUCCUGCGUGUAUUUUGAUAUCUGGUGCAGCUUUCUGAGCCCAUGUUCCCGCCCCUCUGCAAGAAAGAGAAGUUGCAUUUUCUCAGUCCUUCGGUCUUUGACAUCAAAUCCAGUGAUCUUUCCACUUUGGCAAUGUUGCCCAUCUAUUUUUGGUAACUGGAAGCAUUCAACUUUUCCUUUUGGUUCCACUGUUAUUAUUGGUUGCUGUCUUCUUGAUAGGGACUCAUUUUCCCCCAGGAUAAGGUUCCUUUGAGGCCAUGUCUGGGACUCCCUUCAGAUCCUGCUUUAGGUCUAACUACAGAGAGAAGUUGAACUUGCUUUUAGAGAAAGAUGCUUCCUUUUCAUUUUACUCAGAACUUCCCAAGACCCCAUCUAACAAGAUCCUUAUUGAUUCUGGAAACCUCAGUUCUUUGACAGGAGAAACUCCAAAGUGUUGCCUUGACUUGUCAAAUGUU